rnacentral:rRNA from 1 species
UACGUAGGGUGCGAGCGUUGUCCGGAACUACUGGGCGUAAAGAGCUCGUAGGUGGUUUGUCGCGUUGUUCGUGAAAACCUGAGGCUUAACCUUGGGCGUGCGGGCGAUACGGGCAGACUGGAGUACUGCAGGGGAGACUGGAAUUCCUGGUGUAGCGGUGGAAUGCGCAGAUAUCAGGAGGAACACCGGUGGCGAAGGCGGUUCUCUGGGCCUUACCUGACACUGAGGAGCGAAAGCGUGGGGAGCGAACAGG